rnacentral:rRNA from 1 species
GAACGCUGGCGGCGUGCCUAAUACAUGCAAGUCGAGCGAACAGACGAGGAGCUUGCUCCUCUGACGUUAGCGGCGGACGGGUGAGUAACACGUGGAUAACCUACCUAUAAGACUGGGAUAACUUCGGGAAACCGGAGCUAAUACCGGAUAAUAUAUUGAACCGCAUGGUUCAAUAGUGAAAGACGGUUUUGCUGUCACUUAUAGAUGGAUCCGCGCCACAUUAGCUAGUUGGUAAGGUAACGGCUUACCAAGGCGACGAUGCGUAGCCGACCUGAGAGGGUGAUCGGCCACACUGGAACUGAGACACGGUCCAGACUCCUACGGGAGGCAGCAGUAGGGAAUCUUCCGCAAUGGGCGAAAGCCUGACGGAGCAACGCCGCGUGAGUGAUGAAGGUCUUCGGAUCGUAAAACUCUGUUAUUAGGGAAGAACAAAUGUGUAAGUAACUAUGCACGUCUUGACGGUACCUAAUCAGAAAGCCACGGCUAACUACGUG